CUGUGCUGGAGUCAGCCUCACACAGAUCACACACAGACAUGAGUGUGCCCACUCAGCUCCUGGGGUUCCUGCUGGUGUGGCUUACAGGUGCCAGAUGUGACAUCCAGAUGACUCAGUCUCCAGCCUCCCUGGCUGCAUCUGUGGGAGAAAGUGUCACCAUCACAUGUCAAGCAAGUCAAAACAUUAACAGUUAUUUAGCAUGGUAUCAGCAGAAACCAGGGGAAUCUCCUAAGCUCCUGAUCUAUAAGGCAAACAGCUUGCAUGAUGGUGUCCCAUCGAGGUUCAGUGGCAGUGGAUCUGGCACACAGUUUUCUCUCAAGAUCAACAGCCUGCAGCCUGAAGAUAUCGCAGAUUAUUACUGUCAACAAGGUUAUACUCCUCCCACAGUGAUUCAAGCCUUGACAUAAA